GAAACUUUCGCCCUCUCCCUCUUCAACAACAAGAUGAUAAACGAGAAAACUCCACAGAUAUCCCCCGAUGUUUGCCGUCCAUGUUGCGUCUCUUUCAACCUCAACAAGAAGAACAAACACAACCUGUUGCCAUGCAGGACCGGGAGAGCUUCCUUCCGGGAAAAGCCGGACUACACGCAGACUUUAGAGGCGAUAACGGUAGCAAGGGUGACACCGUGCGAUGGCUUUCACAAAGCGAAAGCGGUGUGUACAAGAUGCCGUUCAAUGUUGAGUAAAUACAUAAGAACGUGUACGAGAUGGGCAGGAUCACAGCUUUUAUCCGGGAGAGAGCAGCAAGGCUGUCGGACACCAAGGCAUCUCCAUGUAUCACUUCUCCAAUGGUGCGUCUCUUCUGGCUACUUAGAAUCAAAAUAAUUGUUUCUUAUUGUGUUUUGUGUUGCUCAAAGGGUGUGAUCUAGGAUUUGUUUAUCUGUUGAUUGCUAUGAUUACAUGUACCCUCAAAUCUCCUCCAUGGUUAUCAAAUGCUUAUGUUGGAUGAAUAUGUUAAUUGUUGGAAAGCAGAAGAAGAGAUGGCUUCUUCACUGCCUCGGGGUUGGCUGCACGGAAGUUGGAUUGAAUUGGUGAUCCUCUUGUCUUGUGUGUCCCGAAGAUUAUUGAUGUGUCCUUGUGUUGACAAUAAGUCAUGGUGAGAGCCUAGUUGAAUGAUGCUGGACCCGGUGAAUGGCGCAGUCCUGCCUGUUUCUGUCCUUCUACAGGGAUGGACGAGGAUGGCAGCGAAAAGCUCAGACUCCCCUAUUACUCCCCUAUGAUUCUGAACGUUGAUACUUUGAUUUCAACAACUCGCUCCAAACCUGCAGUCCGAAUCGGACUGACCAAGGACGACUUUUAUCCCUGGCAAUCAUCUCUAUUGCGAUGAAGAGACUUUCAAAACUGAAAUCAACUAAAGUUGACAUCUGCAACAAAGUCAAAGUCACUGAUAUCUUUGUCCAAACGAAAUGGACACUGUUUAAUGAGUAUGAAUAGUGGAAGUGCUGGAACACCCACCUGUAGCCGUCAUUUCACACCUGCCGACCUCGACAAGUCUCCUACAGGCAGUGUCUGUCUGAAACCUGGAUCCGUCCCGCGUUUAAGGUUUCCCCAAAGCUAAUGCCCAAGACUGCCAAACCACCAGGUGAGUUGCACGACUAAUGUAUUCAACCUUUAUAACAUCAUGCAUAAUUACAGCUGUAUAGUCGGGAUUUCAGUUACUGUUGGGGCCAUUGAUAGUGUUGUGUUUUGUUGGUUGCGUUACAUUUCAACAUUUAAGCAAUUGUCAUUCAUUAGCUUUAUUAUACCUUAAAUAUAUGUAUUGUACUUGAGGUUUUAAUUUUUUAAUUUUUUCCAGGCUCAGCAGAAGAUGCAGCUGGGAGAAUUCAAGAUCUUAGAUUAAGUGGAAACAGUUCUUUCACUCCUAAUGAACACCUUUUGGGCCACAUGAAAAAAUAUGUUAUUAUUAUAUUGUGCAUCCUUGGUGCUGACACCGCUGAGAGUGACUAGAGACGCAGCCUGUCAGACAGAGAGCUCGGGGGCUCUGCAAACCGAGGAGAACCGGAAUCCUUCAAAGAGAACCGAGGCGUUCCAAGUGAAGGUGCCCGUGAAGGAUGAAGGCGAGGAAGAAGAUAUCCCCUGGGUGAGGGGACGCCGAGAGGAAAGCGAGGAGCAGGAGGACCGAAAGCGCCCAGUUAGCUCUGCCGCUGCUGGCCCCCCAUCCAACGUUAGCGCUCUCUCGGAAACGCCCUCUCCUCGGCCUCGGGAAGGAGGAUGUACAAGAAGAGACAGGGACGACCGUGAAUGACGAGGAGACGCUUUUCACUGGCCGGACUCUGGCGCCCCCUAGUGCUCUGUGUGUGAACCGCAUGUAGAGGUGGCGCAGGGAUACGGAGAGGAGGAAGAUGACAUGUUCCAGUGGCGGUCGGACUUCGGAGGAGGCGGCAUCUUCGUUCCGUCUCCACGGUAACAACGAUUCCACGACGGCUCUGACAUCAUCCGGUUCUAACCGAGGCGGGAGAAUAGCCUUGAAGUAGGGUAAACAAACUUUUGGAUCACAAUUUUCCCACUGAACCUCAGACUGUUCAACAAAUCUGUUGACUUUUACUUUGUACACACAAGACUGGAAAGGCUGGCUGUCACCUCCGACACAUUCUCUGAUUCGACGGGUUCGCCGUGAGUGGAUAUUUCAUCCGUCAACCGUUCGGCCCAAACUCUCGACUGAGCUGCAAUGCCAGACAAUAAUAAUACUGUCACUCAAAAUGAGGGUCUAUCUGUCGGAUGUCUGUUUAACGGACCAAACUUGUCAGAACUCAAGAAUGCACACACACACGCCCACACACACACACACACACACACACACACACACACACACACACACACACACACACACACACACACACACACACACUAAAGCAUCUGUGUGCACACAUAUUAACAAUUUCUGAAGUCAUAAAUACCGUUGAUAACAAUGUUUAUCACAUUGAUAGGGUUCUGUUCAACAUGGUCGUCAACAAAGUUAACUCCAAUGUAACGUCUUAUUGAUUUAUUAGAGUUGUACUAUGCGGAAAAGGCCACAAGGUGGCAGUAUGUGCUAAAGUCGGAGAGCAGCGCUCUGAAUUUCCAAGUAAACAAUUAAUUUAAUUGAAAUAUCAAUUUGUGUUUUUGAUAACGCUCGUUUACCGCAUUGCAAUCGGAAUAUAUACUGCUAGUAUAUGGGUUUAAUGUAAAAAAAAAAGUCUCACUCAAUUAACUUUGUCAUAAACAUUUUUAUGUUUCCCCAAUCUCGGAGAUGAGUAACAAAAAUACAGUUGUUCAAUAAUGUUCAUUUACAUAUUCAUGAGCAUGUACAAGUGAGAGCAGUCGAACAAAAAGUGCUUUUUUUUUUUUAAACAAGGAAUCAUCUUUGAAUAAUCACGUCAUCAUUGGUAAACCAACUAAAAAGAAAAAAUUCCAUUCAUCUGAAUGGAAAAUGGAAAACAAUCCGUCCAGAUAAAAACGUUGAGUCUCAGACGAGAGGAAUCAAACACAUUUCCGUUAGUGGAUCGUAAAACAAAUUUGUGUUAAAAAUAAUCAUCAACUGCUGUGUUUUUGUGAUCCCCAGAUGGCGAGCUGAAUACCUCAGACAGUCAAUAAGUCAAAACAGGUCUUAAAUCUAUUACAUUUUGCACAACGCUUUGUAUGGCACGAGAGCCAUCCUCUGCUGAAACAUUUCCUUGUAGGGCGAAGUCUGGGCCAGUACAACACUAGAUGAGGUCGCCGUUUACGUUUAUCCACGUUGGACAAGAUGAAACCCCCCUCCGACUCAUAUUAAACACAAUUUCACGAGGGGAGAACUAUUAGGUAAACCUAAUAAAUAAAACUAAUAUUUCCAGAAUCAACGUAAUCUCACACGCACCCACACAAUCACUGUGCAGACAUGACUGGGAGCCCCUAACCUAUGUUUUGUUAUAUUUGAUGGUGCAUAACAAGAAUAGUUCCAAUAUCGUUUUGUUGCCUCCAUGGCUUUUUAAUUAAUCUUUUUGCUCAUGUGAAAGAACACGCUGAACCAAAAGGAAAUCCAAUUAGUACACAAAGAGCAGUCACUGCGCUCAUUUACGUGUUCAUCGUCUCCCCGCCUGCCAACAGGUUUUAGAGGCUGGGGGGGAGGCAGGUUAAGAGGGUAGAGGUCAUGCCAGGGUAUAUAAUCUAAAUCAAAGCAAUGUACACAGAAGCCUUUAUAUAGCCUUUAUAUCAGGGCCUUAAGCCCCAGUGGGCGUCGUAUGGUUGCCAGUCAUUGUUUGACCCCGCCCACCUGGCGCGACUAGAGCUAUGAAAGAAGGUCAAGUUAAUUGAAGCAGGAUUUUGAGGAGGGGGGGGGUUACCUUGAAUUCUUUAAAGACCUGGCUAGGGGUCCCAGAACGGAUUAACCAACUCAUGAGGGUCAGUGGAGAGAGGAAAUUAAAAGUCGUGGGAGAAUUCAAACUAUUGGAUGGACGCGUGAAGAAAUUGAGUGGCAACAAAAUGCCGCCCCCUCAUGGCAAACUAACAAAGCCUCCGUUUAGUAGGCCUAAUGCUUAAAUAACAUUAGUUAAAGAAAGAAAAUGAUUAGUGGGAAAUGUCUUUCUCAGAGCGACCUCAACAGUAGAUUGUCUGUUUAUCUUUGGAACAAGGUUAGGUCAGCUUAAGAAACCCUGACUAAAUCAACCCUGUCCUCCGUCAAGCUUUCCUCGAGUGUCAUGGCCGUUUAAACCUUUCAUUAAAUAGACAAACAAGAACGCUAAGAAAAGGAGAAGAUAGAGUUGUGUGUGUAUGUGUGUGCGUGCGUCUGUGUGUGUGUAAGCUGACCCAACAGUGAUGUCUGUCUCUUAAUAAAUGCAUGAGGGCUGGCAUGCGCUUUUUUUCUUUCCAUGGAUGAUUU